UUGGGUAGGGGAGCGUCGUGUGCCGGGUGAAGCAGCCGCGGAAGCGAGUUGUGGACGGUUCACGAGUGAGAAUGCAGGCAUGAGUAGCGAUACACACGUGAGAAACGUGUGCGCCGAUUGACUAAGGGUUCCUGGGUCAAGCUGAUCUGCCCAGGGUAAGUCGGGACCUAAGGCGAGGCCGACAGGCGUAGUCGAUGGACAACCGGUUGAUAUUCCGGUACCCGCUUUGAAACGCCCAGUACUGAAUCAGGCGAUGCUAAGUCCGUGAAGCCGGCCCGAUCUCUUCGGAGUUGAGGGUAGUGGUGGAGCCGAUGAACCAGACUUGUAGUAGGUAAGCGAUGGGGUGACGCAGGAAGGUAGUCCAGCCCGGGCGGUGGUUGUCCCGGGGUAAGGGUGUAGGACGUUGUGUAGGCAAAUCCGCGCAACAUUAAGUCUGAGACCUGAUGCCGAGCCGAUUGUGGUGAAGUGGAUGAUCCUAUGCUGUCGAGAAAAGCCUCUAGCGAGUUUCAUGGCGGCCCGUACCCUAAACCGACUCAGGUGGUCAGGUAGAGAAUACCGAGGCGUUCGGGUGAACUAUGGUUAAGGAACUCGGCAAAAUGCCCCCGUAACUUCGGGAGAAGGGGGGCCAUCACUGGUGAUCCGAUUUACUCGGUGAGCUGGGGGUGGCCGCAGAGACCAGCGAGAAGCGACUGUUUACUAAAAACACAGGUCCGUGCGAAGCCGUAAGGCGAUGUAUACGGACUGACGCCUGCCCGGUGCUGGAACGUUAAGGGGACCGGUUAGCUGCCUUUCGGGGUGGCGAAGCUGAGAACUUAAGCGCCAGUAAACGGCGGUGGUAACUAUAACCAUCCUAAGGUAGCGAAAUUCCUUGUCGGGUAAGUUCCGACCUGCACGAAUGGCGUAACGACUUCUCGACUGUCUCAACCAUAGGCCCGGUGAAAUUGCACUACGAGUAAAGAUGCUCGUUUCGCGCAGCAGGACGGAAAGACCCCGGGACCUUUACUAUAGUUUGAUAUUGGUGUUCGGUUCGGCUUGUGUAGGAUAGGUGGGAGACUGUGAAGCGGCCACGCCAGUGGUUGUGGAGUCGUCGUUGAAAUACCACUCUGGUCGUGCUGGAUGUCUAACCUGGGUCCGUGAUCCGGAUCAGGGACAGUGUCUGAUGGGUAGUUUAACUGGGGCGGUUGCCUCCUAAAGAGUAACGGAGGCGCCCAAAGGUUCCCUCAGCCUGGUUGGUAAUCAGGUGUUGAGUGUAAGUGCACAAGGGAGCUUGACUGUGAGACCGACGGGUCGAGCAGGGACGAAAGUCGGGACUAGUGAUCCGGCAGUGGCUUGUGGAAGCGCUGUCGCUCAACGGAUAAAAGGUACCCCGGGGAUAACAGGCUGAUCUUCCCCAAGAGUCCAUAUCGACGGGAUGGUUUGGCACCUCGAUGUCGGCUCGUCGCAUCCUGGGGCUGGAGUCGGUCCCAAGGGUUGGGCUGUUCGCCCAUUAAAGCGGUACGCGAGCUGGGUUUAGAACGUCGUGAGACAGUUCGGUCCCUAUCCGCUGUGCGCGUAGGAAUAUUGAGAAGGGCUGUCCCUAGUACGAGAGGACCGGGACGGACGAACCUCUGGUGUGCCAGUUGUCCUGCCAAGGGCAUGGCUGGUUGGCUACGUUCGGAAAGGAUAACCGCUGAAAGCAUCUAAGCGGGAAGCCUGCUUCGAGAUGAGUAUUCCCACCAACUUGAUUGGUUAAGGCUCCCAGUAGACGACUGGGUUGAUAGGCCAGAUGUGGAAGCCCGGUAACGGGUGGAGCUGACUGGUACUAAUAGGCCGAGGGCUUGUCCUC
rnacentral:ncRNA from 1 species